CCUACGGGCGGCAGCAGUGGGGAAUAUUGCACAAUGGGGGAAACCCUGAUGCAGCGACGCCGCGUGAGUGAAGAAGGAAUUCGUUAUGUAAAGCUCUAUCAGCAGGGAAGAAAAUGACGGUACCUAAGUAAGAAGCCCCGGAUAACUACGUGACAGCAGCCGCGGUAAUACGUAGGGGGAAAGCGGUAUCCGGAUGUAAUGGGUGUAACGGGAGCGUAGACGGCAGUGCAAGUCUGGAGGGAAAGGCGGGGGCUCAAACCGCGGACUGCUCUGGAGACUGUACGGCUGGAGUGCAGGAGAGGUAAGUAGAAUUCCUAGUGUAGCGGUGAAAUGCGUAGAGAUUAGGAGGAACACCAGUGGCGAAGGCGGCUUACUGGACUGUAACUGACGUUGAGGCUCGAAAGCGUGGGGAGCAAACAGGAUUAGAUACCCGAGUAGUC
rnacentral:rRNA from 1 species